rnacentral:rRNA from 1 species
AGUGAACGCUGGCGGUAGGCCUAACACAUGCAAGUCGAACGGUAGCACAGUAAUAGCUUGCUGUUAUGGGUGGCGAGUGGCGGGUGGGUGAGGAAUAAAUCGGAAUCUACUUUUUCGUGGGGGAUAACGUAGGGGAACUUACGCUAAUACCGCAUACGACCUACGGGUGAAAGCUGGGGAUCUUCGUCCCUUGCGCGAUUGAAUGAGCCGAUUUCGGAUUAGCUAGUUGGCGGGGUAAAGGCCCACCAAGGCGACGAUCCGUAGCUGGUCUGAGAGGAUGAUCAGCCACACUGGAACUGAGACACGGUCCAGACUCCUGCGAGAGGCAGCAGUGGGGAAUAUUGGACAAUGGGCGCAAGCCUGAUCCAGCGAUACCGCGUGGGUGAAGAAGGCGUUCGGGUUGUAAAGCCCUUUUGUUGGGAAAGAAAAGCAGCAGGUUAAUACGACGCUGUUCUGACGGUACCCAAAGAAUAAGCACCGGCUAACUUCGUG